GAAUAUUGGACAAUGGGGGGAACCCUGAUCCAGCCAUGCCGCGUGUGUGAAGAAGGCCUUUUGGUUGUAAAGCACUUUAAGCGAGGAGGAGGCUACUCUAGUUAAUACCUAGAGAUAGUGGACGUUACGCGCAGAAUAAGCACCGACUAACGCUGUGCCCGCGGCCGCGGUAAUACAGAGGGGGCAAGCGUUAAUCGGAUUUACUGGGCGUAAAGCGCGCGUAGGUGGCCAAUUAAGUAAAAUGUGAAAUCCCCGAGCUUAACUUGGGAAUUGCAUUCGAUACUGGUUGGCUAGAGUAUGGGAGAGGAUGGUAGAAUUCCAGGUGUAGCGGUGAAAUGCGUAGAGAUCUGGAGGAAUACCGAUGGCGAAGGCAGCCAUCUGGCCUAAUACUGACACUGAGGUGCGAAAGCAUGGGGAGCAAACAG
rnacentral:rRNA from 1 species